rnacentral:ncRNA from 1 species
UAUCGUUACAAACUCUCCGCAAACCGAGACCUCUAGGGAGUAUAAAUCACGUCUCUAAUACCUGACCUGGAGGGUAGGUCAGGAAUAUUCUACCUA